AGAUUGAACGCUGGCGGCAUGCCUUACACAUGCAAGUCGAACGGCAGCGCGGGAGCAAUCCUGGCGGCGAGUGGCGAACGGGUGAGUAAUACAUCGGAACGUGCCCGAGAGUGGGGGAUAACGCAGCGAAAGCUGUGUUAAUACCGCAUACGAUCUACGGAUGAAAGCAGGGGACCGCAAGGCCUUGCGCUCAUGGAGCGGCCGAUGGCAGAUUAGGUAGUUGGUGUGGUAAAAGCUCACCAAGCCGACGAUCUGUAGCUGGUCUGAGAGGACGACCAGCCACACUGGGACUGAGACACGGCCCAGACUCCUACGGGAGGCAGCAGUUUCGAAUCAUUCACAAUGGGCGAAAG
rnacentral:rRNA from 1 species